rnacentral:rRNA from 1 species
ACAACUCCCAAACCCAAUGUGAACGUUACCAAACUGUUGCCUCGGCGGGAUCUCUGCCCCGGGUGCGUCGCAGCCCCGGACCAAGGCGCCCGCCGGAGGACCAACCAAAACUCUUAUUGUAUACCCCCUCGCGGGUUUUUUUAUAAUCUGAGCCUUCUCGGCGCCCCUCGUGGGCGUUUCGAAAAUGAAUCAAAACUUUCAACAACGGAUCUCUUGGUUCUGGCAUCGAUGAAGAACGCAGCGAAAUGCGAUAAGUAAUGUGAAUUGCAGAAUUCAGUGAAUCAUCGAAUCUUUGAACGCACAUUGCGCCCGCCAGUAUUCUGGCGGGCAUGCCUGUCCGAGCGUCAUUUCAACCCUCGAACCCCUCCGGGGGGUCGGCGUUGGGGAUCGGCCCUCCCUCUGCGGGGGCCGUCUCCGAAAUACAGUGGCGGUCUCGCCGCAGCCUCUCCUGCGCAGUAGUUUGCACACUCGCACCGGGAGCGCGGCGCGUCCACAGCCGUUAAACACCCCAACUUUCUGAAAUGUUGACCUCGGAUCAGGUAGGAAUACCCGCUGAACUUAAGCAUAUCAAUAAGCGGA